AUGGCGGGGGCCCUGCUCACCUUGUGCCCGCCCCCGGGGCCGCCCUGUUUGGAGGGAGGACACGGGUGGUCCUCUGGUGGCUGUCCUCCGGGGAGGCGUCACGGGGGCCUCCGUCCCCCCCAGAGGGAGCUGAGAAAUGCUCACUGGUCCCCAUGGGGUUCUAGGGUCAAAGUUGCAGAAAUUAGAGGAGAGACGGGGGGGGGGGGGUGUGGCCAGGCCGCCAGCGUUCUCCGAGAGCAGACCCUCGCGCUCCUGCUCCCUGCGGGGCCCGGGGCAGCCUGGACUUGCCCAGCGGGAUGCCCUGUGCAUCUGGGGCUUCCCCCCGGGGAGGGGACACUUGGCAUCUGCCCAGCGAGGGUACUCGUCACCGGCCCGCCCUCCUGCACCCCUGCGUUUCCAGUGCGCUCAGCCAGGCCGCGGCUGGCGUGGGUGCAGGGACCCCACCCUCGCUCGGUGCUCUGCUGUCGCCGACCUGAAAGUCCCCUCACUGUGGGGCCUGAUCUCAGACGUUCCCUGGGAAGUCCUCGGGGCUGGCGGUCCUUCCAUGAGGAAGAAACACCGUGUAGGUCGGGCCCGGCCGCCUGUGAGGGCCGCACGCAAGGGGGGCUGGUGGCCACGGUGCUCACCUGGGAGCCCAGCCUGAGCCCUCCCCUCCGCGGGGGCUGGAGGGGGCGCACAGUGGGAAGAAAGAAGCCUGGGGAGGCCACCCAGGUGGUGUCGCAUCCGCAUCACCCCUCCCACGGAGAUGUCAUCACACAGGGAAACAGGGACAGCAGGGUCCCUGCGGUGCAUGUCCUUACUGGGCCGGGGGCUGGGACGGCACCCCGAUGCCGGCUGCUUCCCACCCUGUUCCCACACGCGGCCCCUCGGGAGGGGUCCCCUCGGGUCGUGGUGGGACACCUGUGUGCAGGGGCCUCUGGGCGGCGGUCCAGGAACCCUCUCCCCCACAGAAUCGUGGGACAACGCUCAGGCUGCAGAGGCGAGGCCGCCUGCUGCUUCUUGAGGUCCCGUUACCCGGGAAGAUUCCUCUAG
rnacentral:lncRNA from 1 species